GACGAACGCUGGCGGCGUGCUUAACACAUGCAAGUCGAACGGAAAGGCCCUGCUUUUGUGGGGUGCUCGAGUGGCGAACGGGUGAGUAACACGUGAGUAACCUGCCCUUGACUUUGGGAUAACUUCAGGAAACUGGGGCUAAUACCGGAUAGGAGCUCCUGCUGCAUGGUGGGGGUUGGAAAAUUUCGGCGGUUGGGGAUGGACUCGCGGCUUAUCAGCUUGUUGGUGGGGUAGUGGCUUACCAAGGCUUUGACGGGUAGCCGGCCUGAGAGGGUGACCGGCCACAUUGGGACUGAGAUACGGCCCAGACUCCAACGGGAGGCAGCAGUGGGGAAUAUUGCACAAUGGGCGGAAGCCGGAUGCAGCAACGCCGCGUGCGGGAUGACGGCCUUCGGGUUGGAAACCGCUUUCGCCUGUGACGAAGCGUGAGUGACGGUAAUGGGUAAAGAAGCACCAGCUAACUACGU
rnacentral:rRNA from 1 species